rnacentral:rRNA from 1 species
AAUAGAUACCCAGGUAGUCCACGCCGUAAACGAUGAGUGCUAAGUGUUAGAGGGUUUCCGCCCUUUAGUGCUGCAGCUAACGCAUUAAGCACUCCGCCUGGGGAGUACGGCCGCAAGGCUGAAACUCAAAGGAAUUGACGGGGGCCCGCACAAGCGGUGGAGCAUGUGGUUUAAUUCGAAGCAACGCGAAGAACCUUACCAGGUCUUGACAUCCUCUGACCUCCCUGGAGACAGGGCCUUCCCCUUCGGGGGACAGAGUGACAGGUGGUGCAUGGUUGUCGUCAGCUCGUGUCGUGAGAUGUUGGGUUAAGUCCCGCAACGAGCGCAACCCUUGACCUUAGUUGCCAGCAUUCAGUUGGGCACUCUAAGGUGACUGCCGGUGACAAACCGGAGGAAGGUGGGGAUGACGUCAAAUCAUCAUGCCCCUUAUGACCUGGGCUACACACGUGCUACAAUGGAUGGUACAAAGGGCUGCGAGACCGCGAGGUUAAGCCAAUCCCAGAAAACCAUUCCCAGUUCGGAUUGCAGGCUGCAACCCCG